ACUGGAUCUGUCUCCGAAACGUCGUGGUAUUUUGUCUUUUACAUACCAGAUGAUGGGUGAAGUCCAAAAGAAAUAAAGUGCAUGCAGUAUUGCCCAGAAAUGUCUGACUGACUGCUGGAGUGGGAACAUAAAAAUAUCACAUGCAUUUUGACAAAUCACUAGUACUCAAUGUUUUUAGGCAAGAGGACGGUGAGUUCCUUAAUGUGCAGGAGCAAACCCUGUGUUUCUGUCUCUAGCAGUUGGGAGUUUUACAGCUGUUUUAGUUCUCCCAUACUAGAGCAUUUAUGUUGCUCCAAGACAAUUGAUUUGUUAUUUAUCUGAUUACUUAAUACAUAUCCAUAAUAUGGACUUAAAUGAAGGUGAAAGGAUGAUAGAGAAGAUGAGGAAUUGAGAGCAGCGGAGACUGGUUGUAGAGGAGGCCAAGGCUCACCCAGGGCUAUAGCGCUGAGUGGUAGGUACGUAAUACGGAGUUAAAACAAUCUCAUAAUCA